AAUUUUCCUAUUAAGUAAGGUGUCGUCCCAUUGGGGCGGAGAAUUGGGAAGCCGGUGUGAAUCCGGCACUGCCCCCGCAACGGUAACAUCGGGCAAGGGCGUAGCAAGAGCCACUGGGACGAGGACCCCGGGAAGGCGCUGCGGCCGGUCAUUUGACCCCGAUGAAAGUCCGGAAACCAGCCUUGCCUUGAUAGUCAAA
rnacentral:ncRNA from 2 species